CCUUCGCCUUUCAGUUCGAUCUCCUCCAUAUGAAGAACCAAACCCUAAAAAUAUCAAAUACAUAAGUUUGAUCACAUGGCACAUUUGUAUUUAGGAGCAGAGUCCUCGGCGGUCUCAGAAGGUCUAGGGGGAGACCGAAGGUUGAGAUUUGAGAAGAUAAAGAUUUGGGUUUGGCGAAAGAGCUUGGUCCCUUGUGUGCCGAAGUCGAGGACAUCUACGAUCCCUCUAUCCCACGCAGUCACGUACAAUUCGAUUCGCCAUUGCCGCCUGAGAUUCCAUUUUGCUUCCAAUCCGAAGAGAAAUGGCGGCCGGUCAGUAUACGUAUCAGCUCGAAGCUUACUUCCGGCAAGUGGAUUUAGACGGAGACGACAUGAUUAGUGGCACUGAGGCCAUCGCUUUCUUUUGGGGCACCAAUUUGCCCAAUCCAGUUUUUGUUAAGUUCCGUUCCUUGGGGAACGUUUACUCUCAAUUGAGUCGCUUCUGCAUACAUAGGUGAUUUGGGUUUGCAGCAUAGCUUAUGAGGAUCUGGUAAGUUAAAUUCAAGCUUGCAGUUUGUCUGAACUUGGACCACAACAUCUUGAUCUGAAUGACCAUAUUAAUUGAGUUUGUUAUGGUAUAUACUUGUAGGUUGAUGGAUUGGUUCUGUAAGUUGUAUAUUAAAUAUACACAUUCUGAUAUUGAAGCAAGGAAAUAGACACUUGAAGGCUAAAAUCAAGAGAAGACUAUGAGUUGGGAUGACUUUCCCCAAGCCAGAAAACACUUACCGUAGGCUUCAGUUUCAUAUUGUUGCAGUCCCAAAUUCAAGUAUAGCAAGACACAAGUUAGGAACUGCCACUGAAUACCAAGGUGGCUAGGUGUUAAUGUUUCCAGCAAAGUGACUCUUAAUUCAAGGUUGCCUUUAAGAGAAUUUACCAAUUAUAGUUUUGUGGUGCAUUGUUUGUAAAUGGAGUUGAUUGGAUAUGAAU